GAACGGAAGGCUUACCGAAGGAAAAGGCGAGCCGGAGCCUUACGAUGCCCCGUGGCCCAACGCCACGUCCCAGCGCAGCUCCAGGCAGGCGUACCGCCCGGGAGAAAGCAGAGAUCUCAGGACAAGUCCUUCACACAGUCUCAGGCCCCAAGAAGUCAGCAGACCUAUUCACAUGACUGGGAAAACUUCAAGUUAAUGCCACUCUGCACUGCCUGAAGCCAAUGGUGAACCAGUAAGGACUUCAGCUGAAAUAAGUGUUUCCCUCCAGCGGUCCUGCCAAGCAGCACAGAGCGACCAAGAGAGCGAGCGAGAGAGCGAAAAAAAAAAAGAAACUUGUUCCGCUGAGUUCAACCCCAGACAGGCUCACAACUUCCUUCCUGCUUUCCUACCCCCUCCCUCCGCUCUCCUCCUUCUCUCGGCUCCUCUCCCUCUCCUCCUCCUUCUCCUGCUCUUGCCGCUGCUCCUGCUCUCCCCACCGUUCCGGCCGCACGACGAGAGGGCUCCGCGGACCUGGCCGCAGCGCGGAGCGGGGAACGCCGCUCUCCCGUCCCCGAGGGGCGAUAUAUCCGCGGGGAGCGCGGAAC